CGGUUCUUCUUAACGCUGAGAUACGAUGUCGAGCCACUACGGUGGUGAAGUCAUUGAUGCCAUGCUUCCAGGAAAAGCCUCUAAGCUUCAGAUUGUAAGGAAUCGUACCCCAAACCGACACAGGUGGUCGGGUAGAGAAUACCAAGGCGCUUGAGAGAACUCGGGUGAAGGAACUAGGCAAAAUGGUACCGUAACUUCGGGAGAAGGUACGCUCUUAUCGGUGAAGUCCCUUGCGGAUGGAGCUGACGAGAGUCGCAGAUACCAGGUGGCUGCAACUGUUUAUUAAAAACACAGCACUGUGCAAAAUCGUAAGAUGACGUAUACGGUGUGACGCCUGCCCGGUGCCGGAAGGUUAAUUGAUGGGGUUAGACUUCGGUCGAAGCUCUUGAUCGAAGCCCCGGUAAACGGCGGCCGUAACUAUAACGGUCCUAAGGUAGCGAAAUUCCUUGUCGGGUAAGUUCCGACCUGCACGAAUGGCGUAAUGAUGGCCACGCUGUCUCCACCCGAGACUCAGUGAAAUUGAAAUCGCUGUGAAGAUGCAGUGUACCCGCGGCUAGACGGAAAGACCCCGUGAACCUUUACUACAGCUUGGCACUGAACAUUGACCCUACAUGUGUAGGAUAGGUGGGAGACUUUGAAACCGCGUCGCUAGAUGUGGUGGAGUCGUCCUUGAAAUACCACCCUUGUAGUGUUGAUGUUCUAACGUUGGUCCCUGAAUCGGGAUUACGGACAGUGCCUGGUGGGUAGUUUGACUGGGGCGGUCUCCUCCCAAAGAGUAACGGAGGAGCACGAAGGUGGGCUAAUCACGGUUGGACAUCGUGAGGUUAGUGCAAUGGCAUAAGCCCGCUUGACUGCGAGAAUGACAAUUCGAGCAGGUGCGAAAGCAGGUCAUAGUGAUCCGGUGGUUCUGAAUGGAAGGGCCAUCGCUCAACGGAUAAAAGGUACUCCGGGGAUAACAGGCUGAUACCGCCCAAGAGUUCAUAUCGACGGCGGUGUUUGGCACCUCGAUGUCGGCUCAUCACAUCCUGGGGCUGAAGUCGGUCCCAAGGGUAUGGCUGUUCGCCAUUUAAAGUGGUACGCGAGCUGGGUUUAGAACGUCGUGAGACAGUUCGGUCCCUAUCUGCCGUGGGCGUUGGAAGAUUGAAGGGGGCUGCUCCUAGUACGAGAGGACCGGAGUGGACGAACCUCUGGUGUUCGGGUUGUCAUGCCAAUGGCAUUGCCCGGUAGCUAAGUUCGGAAUCGAUAACCGCUGAAAGCAUCUAAGCGGGAAGCGAGCCCUGAGAUGAGUCUUCCCUGGCACUUUAAGUGUCCUAAAGGGUUGUUCAAGACUAGAACGUUGAUAGGCAGGGUGUGUAAGCGCUGUGAGGCGUUGAGCUAACCUGUACUAAUUGCCCGUGAGGCUUAACCAUACAACACCCAAGGGGUUU
rnacentral:rRNA from 1 species